rnacentral:lncRNA from 1 species
GAAAACGUGCAUGGGGAUUGCCAGUUUUUUGGCUCCUAUCCUUAUCCCUAGCAUGGGGAGAGUAUAAGCCAAAGGAUCCAUAUUAGGCAUGGUCCGGCUUUGAGGGAAAGCCAAAAGGUUAAUAUACUGAAACCCGUGGGAAUUCGGGUUUUGACCCAGAUAAAACGACCCGGUCGGCGAAACCCCAGGUUUCGUCCGGCGAGUCGGCACGCAGUAGGAAAACUUGGAGAUUUUUGACUGGUAAGCGAAAGAGAACCGCCCAAGGUUCAUCCCCAAAAUACCCUUGUCUUCACUGGAAUCCGUGGCGCAACCAAGGAUCAAAGGAGGGGUACUUUGGGAACGCGAAAAAGUGAUCUUUUCUCUCACCAAGUUACCCUCGGCAAGUGUUCCGUCGGCGUAAAAGUACGAAUAGUGACACAAACGGUUCUGGUCGCAGGAAGUAGGGAGGGUAAAAUCGGGAAUCCGUGGCUUGCAAAGAGGAUGGUUACAUGGCAAAACACUGAAAGAAGAAGAAAGAGAAGGAUCAAACGACGCCGUAGGAGGCGGCUUUUUAGCAAGCUUCUUAUGACACUGAAUCCACGACAGUUGACUCCCAGUGUCCAACACCAUCUGCUGAGUCUGCGGCGGAGUACCAAUCGGCAAAGCCACGAUCAACGCCAUUGAAUACUUGAACGUGGUUUUAUAAUUAUAAGAACCCGAGUUUGGCCUUGCCAAACGCCUUGUACCAUGCUUGUUGGCCCCUGCAACUAAAGAAGAAGACAGGGUCUGAACUUUAAUAUCAGGAGAGAUACGGAGAGAAGUAAGAGGAAAAGAGAAGGAAAGGGUGUCGUUCAGGUUUUGUGUUGGAGAGGAAAGGGAAGCGAUGAAGUGAAGGAAGAGGAAGAGAAAGGGAAGGAAAGGGAGAUGAUAGAAAAGAUGAGCCAU